GUUAGUACUGCGGAGAUCAUUGUCGAUGCCUUACAUGCAGACCAACACGUGAAUCAGUUUGAACACAUAGGGCUGGUUUGAGGUGUUCAACACCUCGGCUUGCCUCUGGUUCGGUGGAUGACGACUUGUGCGUCCUCCUCUGGGCCAAAACACAAACCCCGGCGCUGAAUGCGUCAAGGAAUUUAAAAUUUGUUCUGAGCGCACCUGCAUGCCACCGGAGACGGUUUUCGUGCGGGUUGUGUUCCGACCCUAAUAUAGAAUGACUCUCGGCAACGGAUAUCUAGGCUCUUGCAUCGAUGAAGAACGUAGCGAAAUGCGAUACUUGGUGUGAAUUGCAGAAUCCCGUGAACCAUCGAGUCUUUGAACGCAAGUUGCGCCUGAUGCCAUUAGGUUGAGGGCACGUCUGCCUGGGCGUCACAUAUCGAAGCCUCUUGCCAAUUUCCUAUUGAUUGGUAUUGUGCAAGAUGAUGUUGGCCUCCCGUGAGCACCAUCGCCUCAUGGUUGGUUGAAAAUCGAGACCUUGGUAGAGUGUGCCAUGAUAAAUGGUGCAUGUGUUAAGCACGAGACCAAACAAUCAUGUGCUGCUCUAUUGAAUUUAGCCUCUUUUACCCACAUGCGUGUCUAAACGCUCGUGAUGAGACCUCAGGUCAGGCGGGGCUACCCGCUGAAUUUAAGCAUAUCAAUACGGAAAAGAAAGAAA
rnacentral:rRNA from 1 species